CCUACGGGAGGCAGCAGUGGGGAAUAUUGGGCAAUGGAGGCAACUCUGACCCAGCAAAGCAGAGUGAAUGAUGAAGGUCUUCGGAUUGUAAAGUUCUGUGAUGGGGGAUGAACACAAUGACGGUACCCCAAUAGCAAGCCACGGCUAACUACGUGCCAGCAGCCGCGGCAAUACGUAGGGGGCAAGCGUUAUACGGAAUGACUGGGCGUAAAGGGUGCGUAGGUGGGUUAGUAAGUUGGCGGUGUAAUUCCGGGGCUCAACCUCGGCGCUACCGCCAAAACUAGUAGACUAGAGUGCAGGGGGGGUAAGUGGAAUUCCUAGUGUAGCGGUGGAAUGCGUAGAUAUUAGGAGGAACAUCAGGUGCGAAGGCGACUUACUGUACUGUAACUGACACUGAGGCACGAAGGCGUGGGGAGCAAACAGGAUUAGAUACCCCUGUAGUC
rnacentral:rRNA from 1 species